rnacentral:rRNA from 1 species
UACGGAGGGUGCAAGCGUUAUCCGGAUUCACUGGGUUUAAAGGGUGCGUAGGCGGAUCGUUAAGUGUCUUGUGAAAUCCCACGGCUCACCCGUGGAACUGCUGGGCAUACUGGCGAUCUUGGGCCAACUAGGGGCAACUGGAACAAGCGGUGGAGCGGUGAAAUGCGUAGAUAUCGCUUGGAACGCCAACGGUGAAAACAGGUUGCUGGGGUUGUGCCGACGCUGAGACACGAAAGCCAGGGGAGCAAACGGG